rnacentral:rRNA from 1 species
UACAGGGGGGGCAAGCGUUGUUCGGAAUUACUGGGCGUAAAGGGCGCGUAGGCGGCCUGCUAAGUCAUACGUGAAAUCCCUCGGCUCAACCGAGGAACUGCGUCUGAUACUGGUUGGCUUGAAUUCGGGAGAGGGAUGCGGAAUUCCAGGUGUAGCGGUGAAAUGCGUAGAUAUCUGGAGGAACACCGGUGGCGAAGGCGGCAUCCUGGACCGAGAUUGACGCUGAUGCGCGAAAGCCAGGGGAGCAAACGGG